UACAGAGGGUGCGAGCGUUAAUCGGAAUUACUGGGCGUAAAGCGUGCGUAGACGGUUAUUUAAGUCGGGUGUGAAAGCCCCGGGCUCAACCUGGGAAUUGCAUUCGAGACUGAAUAGCUAGGGUACGGUAGAGGGAAGUGGAAUUUCCGGUGUAGCGGUGAAAUGCGUAGAUAUCGGAAGGAACAUCAGUGGCGAAGGCGGCUUGCUGGGCCGGUACUGACGUUCAGGCACGAAAGCGUGGGGAGCAAACAGG
rnacentral:rRNA from 1 species